GGGUCUCUCAGCGCGGGGGCGGCGCCGGCGGCUGCUCCCGGGGGUCCCGGCGGAGGCGGCUCCGGCCGUGUCGGGCGAGGAGGAGGCGGCCGAGCUCCCCACGGCUGAGCGCCGGGCGGCGAGCGAGUGCAGGAUGGGGGGCGCGUGGCCGGCGGGGCCCUGUGGGCGGUGGUGGAAGCGGCCAGCGCCGGCGCCUCGGUUCUCUGCCUGUGUGAGAAGGGAGAUGCCAAGGUCACGGAAGAGACAGGCAAGAUGUCGAAGAAGGAAAAAGAAAUGAAAACAGGAAAGUGCCGGGUCCUUGUUGCUAUUCCGAGGGUGGUGUUUCUCACAGAGCCUGCGGCAGCUGCUCUUCAAGAUGCUGCAGGAGAUGUGCAGCCUACCGGCAGUACCUCCUAGGCUACCUGCUGCUCGGGGACAGCGCUGGGGCCGUCACCAAGGGAGACAGAGAACGUUGUGCGCUGCUGAUGUCACACAGGGGCUGUUCCAGACCCCACCCGGCGUUUGUGACCUCACCUGACAGAGUCUAUAAAGCCUCCCAGCAGGACAGCCAGAGCCAGUUGGGCUGAGCUGCCCUCGAGAGGACUCAGCUCCUUCUUUGGCUACUUGCCUUCCUGCUUGCUUCCAGACAUUUCUCGUUUGCUGACCACUUCUCCUCAACUUCCAUCUCUUCCAAAGAUGCUGCUGUGGCUCUGUGCAAUGGCUCUUUGCUUGGCCAGUGUGAUCCCCUACGCCGUGCCUGGAGCGCUGGCACUGCUGGGCUGCUGGUGGCUCUACUCCCACAGCAAAGAGCAGGCCAGAGCUGGUGCUGAAGCGGCAGCAGCUGCUGAGGAAGCGCAGCAGAGAGGAGGGACAGAGGAGGAAUCAUCGCCCCAAGGGGAAGCCUGUGUCCCUCAGGAGCUGCCUUUGUCAGCAGCAGAGGAAUGCCCAGGGACCGACCUUCGGGAUGUGUCAGCAGCAACAGCUGAGCCCAGCACUGCUGAGGGUGACACGGCAGGAGCAGAGACAGGAGGCUGUGCAGAGGAGAGCGGCGUCCCUGCUGCUGUUUCUGUCCCCGUGCAGAGCACAGUGUCCCGGCAGCGCUGCAGCCAGCCCCGCACAGGGCUCAGGCUCAGGCGCCGACGCAGAGCAGCGCCAGCAGCGCCGGCAGCGCCAGCAGCGCGUGUGGGAGCCGGGCAGGAGCUGAGCAGUGCCCAGAGCGCUCCCGGGGAAGCGGCCACAGGCGCUGAGGAAGCGCAGGAGGAACGAGGGCUAGAG